AAAAAUGACGCAGUACAAUGAUCCUGACCUGGAGAAUAAUGAAGAAGUAUCAUUCCUUAUUCAACAUGAGACUAUAGGUACAUCCGCUGAUCCGGGUGUGAGCACACAGGAGGGUGACGUUUAAAGAGAAAUCUGCUGUUCCGGUUAUGAGCACACAGGAGGGUGACGUUAAAGAGAGAUCCGCUGAUCCGGGGUGUGAGCACGCAGGAGGGUGCCCGUUAAAGAGACAUUCUGCUGAUCCGGGUGUGAGCACGCAGGAGGGUGCCGUUAAAGAGACAUCUGCUGAUCCGGGGGUGUGAGCACGCAGGAGGGUGACGUUAUAGAGACAUCUGCUGAUCCGGGUGUUAGCACGCAUGAGGGUGUCGUUAAAGAGACAUCUGCUGAUCCGGGUGUGAGCACGCAGGAGGGUGACGUUAAAGAGAGAUCCGCUGAUCGGGUGUGAGCACGCAGGAGGGUGUCGUUAAAGAGAAAUUCGCUGUUCCGUGUGUGAGCACGCAGGAGGGUGACGUUAAAGAGAGAUCCGCUGAUCCGGGUGUGAGCACGCAGGAGGGUGACGUUAAAGAGACAUCUGCUGAUCCGGGUGUGAGCACGCAGGAGGGUGACGUUAAAGAGAGAUCUGCUGAUCCGGGGUGUGAGCACGCAGGAGGGUGAUGUUAAAGAGAGAUCCGCUGAUCCGGGUGUGAGCACGCAGGAGGGUGACGUUAUAGAGACAUCUACUGUCCGGGUGUGUGAGCACGCAUGAGGGUGUCGUUUAAAGAGGACAUCUGCUGAUCCGGGGUGUGAGCACGCAGGAGGGUGAUGUUAAAGAGAAAUCUGCUGUUCGGGUUAUGAGCACACAGGAGGGUGACGUUAAAGAGACAUCUGCUGAUCUGGGUGUGAGCACGCAGGAGGGUGACGUUAAAGAGAAAUCUGCUGUUCCGUGUGUGAGCACGCAGGAGGGUGACGUUAAAGAGAGAUCCGCUGAUCCGGGUGUGAGCACGCAGGAGGGUGACGUUAAAGAGACAUCUGCUGAUCCAGGUGUGAGCACGCAGGAGGGUGACGUUAAAGAGACAUCUGCUCCGGGUGUGAGCACGCAGGAGGGUGACGUUUAAAGAGACAUCUGCUCCGGGUGGGAGCACGCAGGAGGGUGACGUUAAAGAGACAUCUGCUCCGGGUGUGAGCACGCAGGAGGGUGACGUUUUUAAAGAGACAUCUGCUGAUCGGGUGUGAGCACGCAGGAGGGUGACGUUAAAGAGAAAUCUGCUGAUCCGGGUGUGAGCACGCAGGAGGGUGACGUUAAAGAGAAAUCCGCUGUUCCGUGUGUGAGCACGCAGGAGGGUGACGUUAAAGAAAAAUCUGCUGAUCCGGGUGUGAGCACGCAUGAGGGUGACGUUUAAAGAGAAAUCCGCUGUUCAGUUGUUAGCAUGCAGGAGGGUGACGUUGAAGAGAAAUCCGCUGAUCCGGGUGUGAGCACGCAGGAGGGUGACGUUAAAGAGAAAUCCGCUGUUCCGUGUGUGAGCACGCAGGAGGGUGACGUUAAAGAGAAAUCCGCUGUUCCAGUUGUGAGCAGGCAGGAGGGUGACGUUAAAGAGAAAUCCGCUGAUCCGGGUGUGAGCACGCAGGAGGGGUGACGU